ensembl:lncRNA
GGUCUCAUAGACUUAGAAGUGGCAGACACAGAGGCAAACAAAUGUUAUAAUGGAGAUAAAAUGUAGUAAAGCACAAGGCACAGAGCCAUUCCUAAUCCUGUGCUCUGUCCUUUUGCCUUUCCUCUGCUUCCCUGUUCUUCAAAGACAAAUUUCCCCGAGAACCACAUCUACUUUCAAGGCUUAAGUUAUAAACUGUGUUCCAGCAGAGCUAAGACCCACAGCCUAGGACUCCACCCUCCCAAUCCCUGGGAGGUAUCCCCUGUGAGGAUACCUGGAGGGUAUCCUGAUGUGGCUUGCUCCCAUCCCCCACUCCUGAAUCUAAACCUCUUUCAACUAAUCCUUCCACCUAAUUAAUGGCCAUGCCAUGAUAAUUCUAUCAGAGAAACAUGCCCUACUUCUCAACCCCUAUACAUAUCUGCUAUGUUCAUCUUGACUAUUGCAAGAGCUUCCUAUGCAUUUCUGGGCCUUGAGUCUCAGCUUCCCUACCCUCCACUCAUUCCCCAUUCAACCACCUGAGUUCUUCUAAAGCCUGUAUCUGUUUUCACAAUACUCAGUCUGGUAAAUGGCUUCCCACUGCCAACCCUAUUGAACUGUGAUCUUAGGUCUACAGGACUCUAAACUCAAAUCUCAAGCUCCUUUAUAAUUUAAUUCAUACUUCUCAGAUUUCACACACACAAAAAGAAACCUCAUGUACCUUUCUAGAACACACAUGUACCUUCUAUUCCUCUGCUCUUGUUGAUCCUCUCUGUUAUUUCAAAUAUUCUAUCUGCCAGCUAUCCAUCUACUAACCUGUUUUAUCCUUCAAUGUCCAGCUCAAAUCCCAACUAAUGCAUAUUGCUUUCCCUGACUAACAAGAAUCCCCCAAGAAUCCCCCAACCUACAUACCAUGUAGGUUGAACUGUAUGAUUUACUGUAUUUGGGGUAGGUCAAAAAUGGUCAAAUAACAACAGUUUCAAAUAAUUCAAACUAUAACUGAAUAUGUUUCUCUUACAUCAUUUACCCUGCUUCAGCAGACUUCCUUAUACCCUGUCUUCAUCCCUGCAUGUCCAGUACCCAGCGGUGGCAGAAAAGUAGAUGCUCAAAAAAUGCUUGAAGAAUUCAAGAUAAUUGAUAUGUAAGGAUCUUGGUAGUUCAUUGAGUUCCCUUAAGUCUGUAUCCAUAUUGCUCUCAAUUUUCUGGAGCCCGACAAGGGUAAAGUCCAUCACCUAAGACUAUCUUCUCGUCAGGAGUGUAGGUAUCCUUUCUUCAUUUCCAUCAGGACCUCACUCUCUCUAUCUACCAAUUAAUAAUUGCCUAACCUAGAGUGAUAAUUGGCUCAGAGAUGGUAAAGAAUCUGCCUGCAAUGUGGGAGACCUGAGUUCAAUCCCUGNNNNNNGAAGAUCCCCUGGAGGAGGGCAUGGCAACACACUACAGUAUUCUUGCCUGAAGAAUCCUGUGGACAGAGAAGCCUGGCGGGCUACAGUCCCUGGGGUUGCAGCAAGUUGGACACAGCUGAGCGACUAAGAACACACACAACCUAUAGAGGGAAAAACCCACCUCCAGGGUCACCUUUUCUUUAAGUAUGUGUGUGUGUUCAGUCGUUCAGUCUUAUUCAACUUGUUUCAAGCCAACGGACUAUAGCCCACCAGGCUCCUCUGUCCAUGGGAUUCCUCAGGCAAGAA